rnacentral:lncRNA from 1 species
UGAGCAGGCACGCAGAAUACAUAUGUGGAUUAACUGACGUGAAGAAUUUGGGGUUGAGGAAACUCAGUGAAAGUCUUCAGCAAAUUCUUCAAACAGUUGCAGUGAAAGUCAUCAACACAUAAUACGAGGAAAGUAAGGAGUUGAGGAAUUAGAACCCGUUUUUCAGUGAAGACAAUCGUUGAUGACCCAGUUCCAACUGCUGUGA